rnacentral:rRNA from 1 species
UACAGAGGGUGCAAGCGUUGUUCGGAAUUAUUGGGCGUAAAGGGCGCGUAGGCGGUGCGGUAAGUCACCUGUGAAACCUCUGGGCUUAACUCAGAGCCUGCAGGCGAAACUGCCGUGCUUGAGUGUGGGAGAGGUGCGUGGAAUUCCCGGUGUAGCGGUGAAAUGCGUAGAUAUCGAGAGGAACACCGGUGGCGAAGGCGGCGAUCUGGACGAUGACUGACGCUGAGACGCGAAAGCGUGGGGAGCAAACAGG